UACGUAGGUGACAAGCGUUGUCCGGAUUUAUUGGGCGUAAAGGGCGCGUAGGCGGUCACGCACGUCCGUUGUGAAAUCGCUCGGCUCAACUGGGCGGGGUCAGCGGAUACGGCGUGGCUGGAGCAAGCUAGGGGGCAAUGGAAUUCCCGGUGUAGUGGUGGAAUGCGUAGAUAUCGGGAGGAACACCAGUGGCGAAGGCGGUUGCCUGGAGCUUUGCUGACGCUGAUGCGCGAAAGCGUGGGGAGCGAUCCGG
rnacentral:rRNA from 1 species